rnacentral:rRNA from 1 species
CCUACGGGUGGCAGCAGUGGGGAAUAUUGGGCAAUGGGCGCAAGCCUGACCCAGCAAUGCCGCGUGAAGGAAGAAGGCUUUCGGGUUGUAAACUUCUUUGACAGGCGAAGAGCAGAAGACGGUACCCUGAAAACAAGCCACGGCUAACUACGUGCCAGCAGCCGCGGUAAUACGUAGGUGGCAAGCGUUGUCCGGAUUUACUGGGUGUAAAGGGCGUGUAGCCGGGAAGGCAAGUCAGAUGUGAAAUCUGGAGGCUCAACCUCCAAAUUGCAUUUGAAAAUGUUUUUCUUGAGUACUGGAGAGGCAGGCGGAAUGCCUUGUGUAGCGGGGAAAUGCGUAGAUAUAAGGAGGAACACCCGGGGCGAAGGCGGUCUGCUGGACAGCAACUGACGGUGAGGCGCGAAAGCGUGGGGAGCAAACAGGAUUAGAUACCCGAGUAGUC